UACGGAGGGCGCGAGCGUUAAUCGGAAUUACUGGGCGUAAAGCGCGCGUAGGCUGUUGUGUAAGUUGGGGGUGAAAUCCCUCGGCUCAACCGUGGAACAGCCCUUGAUACUGCGCGACUUGAAUCCGGGAGAGGGUGGCGGAAUUCCAGGUGUAGGAGUGAAAUCCGUAGAUAUCUGGAGGAACAUCAGUGGCGAAGGCGGCCACCUGGACCGGUAUUGACGCUGAGGCGCGAAAGCGUGGGGAGCAAACAGG
rnacentral:rRNA from 1 species